UACGUAGGGUGCGAGCGUUGUCCGGAAUUAUUGGGCGUAAAGAGCUCGUAGGCGGUUUGUCGCGUCUGCCGUGAAAGUCCGGGGCUCAACUCCGGAUCUGCAGUGGGUACGGGCAGACUAGAGUGCGGUAGGGGAGACUGGAAUUCCUGGUGUAGCGGUGGAAUGCGCAGAUAUCAGGAGGAACACCAAUGGCGAAGGCAGAUCUCUGGGCCGUAACUGACGCUGAGGAGCGAAAGCAUGGGGAGCGAACAGG
rnacentral:rRNA from 1 species